AGAACGAACGCUGGCGGCAUGCCUAACACAUGCAAGUCGAACGAGACCUUCGGGUCUAGUGGCGCACGGGUGCGUAACGCGUGGGAAUCUGCCCUUGGGUUCGGAAUAACAGCGAGAAAUUGCUGCUAAUACCGGAUGAUGACGUAAGUCCAAAGAUUUAUCGCCCAAGGUAUGAGCCCGCGUAGGAUUAGCUUGUUGGUGAGGUAGAGCUCACCGAAGGCGACGAUCCUAGCUGGUCUAGAGAGAUCGACCAGCCACACGUGGACUGACGACGACGGCCCAGACCGUCCGA
rnacentral:rRNA from 1 species